GCGCCAGCUUAGCCAAGUGGUUACUUCGUACUUUCGAAUUUCCAUUUCGUGAUCCGCGGGUCACGGAGUUCGCACCACCGGCGCUGUCUGGCGUUUUC
ensembl:vault_RNA Vault Vault RNA